UCUUACAAAAUUAUUAACCACAAACCACCAUGGUGACCAUUUUAAAGUUACUGUUAGUGUAACUUAAAACCUAACUACUUUAAUCAUCAUUCCAGAUGCCAGGUUUUCAAUAACCAGACAAUGGAUCAGGCCGUGAUAGGGGUCCAAUUUAUGAGUUGAGAUGUACGAUUUAGUAAAUUAUUUAUUGUAUGAAAUAUGAAAUGCUAUAUUAUUUAUACUGUCCUACACAAAACAAAUGAUUAAUUACAGAAGGUUUUAUAUAAAUGCAUUUAAUAAGAAUUAUAACUGGUCUUAAAUGGUUUCCCCACCCCCUUUAUUAAACAUGGUAUAUUCCUCAACUGGGUGGUGAAAUUUGAAAGCUAACGGAACGGUCUUCAUCGACAUCUCCCUCGCUUUGCUGCACCCUUUGUUGUUGUGAUACUGUAUCCUCCUUUUGUUCAGUAAUAAUUGGGGUAAUAAUCGCAAACUGAUAUUUUAUUGAAAUGGUUAUUACCUAUAGCAAUGUCUAUGUACUAGUUAAAUGGACGUUCUUCCGUUGAAACUCAACCUAGCCUAGGAUAGCCGCUGGGCCUAUUCUAUUGCCAUUUGAAAAAAAGAAGAGUCCGCACCAUGCCAAAGUCUAGGCCUAUGCACAGUCAGUAUUAUUGUGAUUGACAUUGGCCAUGGUUUACUUAUAGAAAAGGACCAACUCAUAGCCAUUACUCAGAUAAGCGAUUGGGGCCACGAGGCAAAUUCAAAAUUUGUUUGUUAUUGUUUCUGAUGCAUGAAGUGGUAGGGAAAUACAUGAUAGGGAAGAAAAGCAACGCACAUGUGGAACAUCGGUAGAGAAAGAGCAUUUGGAUCCCAUCUGAAUUACUGCCCUAACAGAUUUCACUGAUAAGGAGUAUCCUGAGGCUUCAACCACUCUUUUGAGGCAGUCUCUGCCAAACAGAAUAAAGAAAAUGAACGAGCCUAAAAAUUGGGAAUACCAUGUAUGCAUUUUUGUUUUUAAAUUUUGUUAUUUAAAUUUAAUUCCAAACUUCGUUCUAGUGAUAUUAGAUAUGUAUAGUAUUUUAUUAUAUUUGAUGUUUCAGUGUGUAGGCCGUCUUAAAGUUAGGUUCAGAAAAGUUUUUUUUU